rnacentral:snoRNA from 1 species
UACCGGGUUGAUAACUAGGCAAUGGUCUCACUCUUUCCACGACCAACGCCCUUUAAGUGCUCGGGAGAUUGAGGUUUCGGCGAAGGAUCUUACACGUCUUCGGACAGGAUGCUGGCUGAAGAAUGCACGUUUAAUCUUUCGCAACAUUU